UCAGCCGGCUGGACGGUCGCUGUUGGAUUCGCGGGCGGCAACGCCGGCGGCUUCGAUGGAGGAAAGUCCGGGCUCCAUGGAGACACGGUGGCGGCUAACGGCCGCCGGGGGCGACCCCAGGGAAAGUGCCACAGAAAGCAAACCGCCCGGAGAGGCUUCGGCCCGUGCCGGGUAAGGGUGAAAGGGUGCGGUAAGAGCGCACCGCGCCGACGGUGACGUCGGUGGCAGGGUAAACCCCACCGGGAGCAAGACCAAAUAGGGGUGGCCAGGCGCGCGGCAACGCGGCGCCAGAUCCGUCUUCAGAUCCGCUACCCGGGUUGGUUGCUAGAGGCGUUCAGCAAUGGACGUCCCAGACGAAUGGCCGUCGCGGAGGAUUUGGCCAGCAUUCGGCAUGCCGAUGUUGGGCUCGCCUCCAGACAGAACCCGGCUUACAGGCCGGCUGACAAA
rfam:Hyphomicrobium sulfonivorans strain WDL6 contig_13, whole genome shotgun sequence.